AGAAGGGGAGAGUAACUUUAGCUGCUCAUCCCCACUGCCAUGGUGUUUCGCACAGAUUCUCAGGUCCGAGAAUACAUGAAUUGAACCCAAGGAAACCGUGAGCCAGUUGUGUGGCUGCUGGGUGUGCUGAAGAGCACAUUGGGACCCAGGCCAUGUACUUGGCAGAAACAUCCAGAUGCAUCGGGAACUCAUCUGCGGAUUUGUUUUCUGGAACUCGUCAGGUCUUCAGCUGUUUACACGGGAUUUGCAGGCCCCACUGUGAUGAUUAUGUGACAGACCCACCAAGGAUCAACUCCUCUCACUCUGUGGAAAUUUCAACUGUGCAACUGUACAACAUACACACGUGUCUUGGAAGGUUAUUUCAUUGACCAGGAAGGCUCCAAGCAUCCUUCUGUCUUCACUUCCCCAGCUCUGGGAUUACAGGCAUACACUAUCUCUCCUGGUUUUCACCUGAGUGAAAAGGAUCUGAGCUCAAGUAUUCCUUGUCUGCAUAGCAAGCACUUUAUUGACCAAGCCAUCGCCCCAGCCCUGAUUGCCUCUUUCAAGUAAGAAGUCACAUGAUGGCUGAACCUUGGUGUGAUCAUCACAGCAGAUGGAAGUGACAGCUGUUGGAACUGUCAGUUCCCAGAUCUGAAAGAUCCAGGGAAGAAGUUUAUGCAAGCGGAGUUC